CCUACGGGUGGCUGCAGUGGGGAAUAUUGCACAAUGGGGGAAACCCUGAUGCAGCAACGCCGCGUGAGCGAUGAAGGCCUUCGGGUCGUAAAGCUCUGUCCUAAGGGAAGAAUACUGACGGUACCUUAGGAGGAAGCCCCGGCUAACUACGUGCCAGCAGCCGCGGUAAUACGUAGGGGGCUAGCGUUAUCCGGAAUUACUGGGCGUAAAGGGUGCGUAGGCGGCCCUUCAAGUCAGAGGUGAAAGGCUACGGCUCAACCGUAGUAAGCUUUUGAAACUGUAGGGGUUGAGUGCAGGAGAGGGGAGGGGAAUUCCGUGUUUAGCGGUGAAAUGCGUAGAUAUUGGGAGGAACACCAGUUGCGAAGGGGGCUCUCGGGACUUUAACUGACGCUGGGGCACGAAAGCGUGGGGACCGAACAGGAUUAGAUACCCGUUUAGUC
rnacentral:rRNA from 1 species